GGGGCUGUCCUGGAUUCGACAGGAUAGUUCGAGUUUGAUAAGCAUGCGAUCGGCAGAUCUCAAAAUGCACCCAGUAAAUAUAACUGGAACCAAUAACUACGCUUACGCUGCUUAAUAAGAAGUAGCGAGUCGUUCCCCUCCAGCCUGCGGGUUCGGAUCGACUUCAGAAAGCAGGAUAGCGACCUUUGUCACCGCCUUCGGCAAACUAGCGAAAUCAAUAAGGCUGGUCGUUUGGCAGGGUGCCUCCUGACAGCCAACCGAUGAGAAAUCCCGGGAGACUAAGCAUGUAGAAAGUCAAAUGUUCGGCUGUUUUGGACGGGGGUUCGAUUCCCCCCAGCUCCACCA
rnacentral:tmRNA from 2 species